rnacentral:miRNA from 2 species
CGAUUCCCCAGCGGAGUCGCCA